rnacentral:lncRNA from 1 species
AAAAAAAAAAUGCUUUGUAAAUUGUAAUAAUAUGUUCUCCUUUUUGUUCUUUUUCAUGUUGGGUGUUUGCCUUGGGUAAAUUAUACAUUUGUUCAGCCGCUCACAGCAUGCACACUUAUAUUGCCUCUUUUUUCCACCUGAUUUAUUAUUUUUGCAGGGAAAAGAAGAGAAUGAACUUCCAGAAUACAUUCUUGGCACUGUUAGGCUUAACCGUGUGAAACCUGAGUCUGCUGUGCCUUUCAGUGUAUAGACUCAUCUUUAGAUAAAAAUAUAUUCAGUACAGCUCUAGUCCAACAAAAGCCCUAUUGCAGUUUUGUGCCUUUCAGUGUAUAGACUCAUCUUUAGAUAAAAAUAUAUUCAGUACAGCUAUAGUCCAACAAAAGCCCUAUUGCAGUUUUGUGCCUUUCAGUGUAUAGACUCAUCUUUAGAUAAA